GUGCUUUCCUCUGUGCCUCUCAAAGUGUCAGAGUGAGGAGCAGAGACGGCGCUGAGCGGAGCAGGAUGCAGGCUAUCAAAUGUGUGGUCGUGGGAGACGGCGCUGUGGGAAAAACUUGUCUUCUCAUCAGCUACACAACCAAUGCCUUCCCAGGAGAGUACAUUCCUACUGUAUUUGACAACUACUCAGCGAAUGUGAUGGUGGACGGCAAGCCCAUCAACCUGGGCCUCUGGGAUACGGCUGGACAGGAAGACUAUGACAGGCUCCGCCCACUGUCCUAUCCCCAGACGGAUGUAUUUCUCAUCUGUUUCUCCCUGGUGAGCCCUGCGUCCUAUGAGAACGUCCGAGCUAAGUGGUACAAUGAAGUCCACCACCACUGCCAAACCGCACCCAUCAUCCUGGUCGGUACCAAGCUGGACCUGCGGGAUGACAAGGAGACUAUUGAGAUGCUGAAGGAAAAGAAGAUGGCACCCAUCACCUACCCUCAGGGCCUAGCUCUCGCUAAGGAGAUAGGUCGAAGCAGUGAAGUACCUGGAGUGCUCAGCUCUGACCCAGCGUGGCCUGAAAACUGUGUUUGACGAGGCCAUCCGGGCCGUGCUCUGCCCCCAGCCCAGCAAGGUCAAGAAAAGGGUGUGCACGGUGCUGUAAAUGGACCGGUGGGGAGAGAAAGUGAGAGACGGGCUACUGACCCGAGGUUGAAAGAAGAUUUAUGGGAAACUACAACCAGCAUUGCCUUAGAGCUGUAAUGGUAAUAAUGAUGAUAAGAUAAUAGAGAAGUUAAAAUUGAUUACAAUAAAGGAACAACACAUUUUGUAACCAAGCAAAUUAGGAGGUGGCACUGAAACCCAUUUCCCAUUUCCUGUAAUGAUGACACUGUGGAUUCAUCGUGUUUGCUCACAUUAAAUGCUGUUAAAGGCUGCCUCUCACUGCCACCAGGGGUUGCCAGUGAGCAGCGCUGCAAAAUGCAGCCUCACAGAAUCAUAACAGUUAUUCAUGAGAGCAAACAUGACAUUUUGAUCAAAUGCAGACACACUACUAUACACUGUAUACUGUAAACUGAAAACGUGGAGUCCAUUGGAAUGAUUAGCAUUCAGAUCAUGGUGUUUUUGAGAGUAAAGAACAAUGAAAAUAUGUAAUAAUAACUGGAAGGAUAAUUUAACAGAAAAAAAUAUAAAUAUUAUUUCUUGUGAUAUUAAAAUAAAACAUGCACUGGAGAAUAUUAUCUCAGGUGAUGGAAUAAUGAUGUAAAUAAAGUUUGA